GGUCUGGUGGUCUAGUGGUAUGAUUCUCGCUUAGGGUACAAACUCUAAGUUUCUUUCUCUCGUUCUUUCUUCAAGCAAAAAAGGGAGAUAAAUAAAAUAUGCGAGAGGUCCCGGGUUCAAUCCCCGGCCAGACCC